rnacentral:lncRNA from 1 species
GGAUCAUUGCCUCGACCCCAUCCCCCACCGCGCGGCGACGCCCCCUACGGGCUGGGACACCUCCACUCUCGGACUGCUGCCGGGUUUCCCUCCGGCUGCGACCCUGGAGGAUUUGAUGGAAAUGCUACAAGAGAAGCAGGCUCUCCCCUUCUGAAAUGAUGAGUGAUAAUGACCAUACAGGUCAACUUUUCCACCACUUGGAGGGAGCCUGUCAAAGAACAAAGGCAACAGAGAAGAGAGCAGAGCUGAGGUUGGGUGAGAGGGAGAAAUUCCUGAGUGCUUGAAUCCCACAUGCCGGAAGCCGCACCACACUUGGACUUCUCAAUACAGGAGCCACUCUGCAGGCAUUUAUUGGCAGGCUACACCUAAGACUUUCUCUGCAGAAAAAUGUUCUAGAUGCACAGAUUUGGGGGCUUGAUUGACAACCUGACACCUCACUCUAAAUCCGCAUGGGUCUGUUGACCUCAGCUGAGAAACCAAGUCAUGCUGAAGACCUGGAAAUCCCAGCAGGCUGCAAACCAGCUGCAACUACAAUGGGUCAGCCCUUUUGAGAUGCUGCUGACUACCCACUUAUCUGCCAAGUUAGCCAGUGUUAAGCCAUGGAUUCACCACGCUCAGAUAAAACCUGCCCCUCUGGGAUCCCUCCAGAAAAAAACAGGCAUGCUGUUGUGAACCCUAAGAUGGCCUUAAGUUAAUAUUCAAUGCCCAGCCAAAGACCCUAAAUAAGAAGUCAUAAAGGAAACAUGUGCUUUUCAGGUACCAAUCACCCUCCAGAUCUAAGAAUGGCUUCAGGCUGGGGCUGCAGUCACCUCUUUGCCCAGCUUCUCCCCUGCCCUAUUCUGCUUCACUUGCAUCCUUAAAGGUUCCACCCAAGAGCUCUUCUACAAGAAAGCACCUAUAAAGCCAGACACAUUGGCUUAUGCCUAUAAUCCUAGCACUUUGGGAGGCCAAGGUAGGAGGAUGGCUUGAGGCCAGGAGUUCAAGACCAGCCUGGGCAACUUAGUGAGGCCCCGUCUCUAUAAAAAAUAAAAAAAUUAACCAGGUGUGGUGGUGCACGUCUCUAGUCUCAGCUACUCAGGAGGCUGUGGCAGGAAGAUGGCUUGAGCCCAGGAGGUUGAGGCUGCAGUGAACUAAGAUCAUGCCACUGCACCCAUCUUGGGCAACAGAAUGAGAUCCUGUCUCUAAAAAAAUAAAAACAAUUUACAACAGUAAGCACCUGUACACAAGCCCCAUCUCCAGUCCUGUUUCUAGGGCUUCCAAUUUAACACACCUAGAGGCUGGGCAUAGUAGCUCAUGCCUGUAAUCCCAAUACUUUGGGAGGCUGAGGCAAGUGAAGCACUUGAGGUCAGGAGUUCGAGACCAGCCUGGCCAACAUGGCAAAACCCCAUCUCUACUAAAAAUGCAAACAUUAGCUGGGCAUGGUGGCACAUGCCUGUAAUCCCAGCUACUCGGGAGGCUGAGACAGGAGAAUCACUUGAACCCAGGAGGUGGAGGUUACAGUGAGCCAAGAUCACACCACUGUACCACAGCCUGAGCAACGAAAGAAGACUCUGUCUAAAAAAAGUAAAAAAUAAAAUAAAACACACCUGGAGCUUUCUACAUCCCGUAGGUAUCUGUGUUUCUUUCUCGUGCCCUAUUUGACAGAGUUUCUUGAGCUCGAAUCUAUGUCUACUUUAUCUUAGCCUUCCUGUAACACCUGUCUCAAUGUCUUGCACAUAUAGAAUGCUCAGUAGAGUUUUUGGAAUAAGUAUUUCAUAUUUUGGAAUCAUUUACAGAGCA